AAAUUUAUUCCUCUCCCUCCAAUCAACAUUAGCAACACAUCCAUGAUGAAAACGAUACUCUUUUUUCUUGUCCUUCACGACAUGCAUAAUAUCCCUUCUAAAAAACAACUCCUACACACAAAAAUAGAACAACAAAUCUCUGAAAAGUUAGGUCGAUCCACUGCAACACCACAACCAUUAUAGCAACCACUUCAUAUCAACAACACUUUUUCUUUCCACCAUAAAAAACUAUCAUAACAUAACCAACCCAUCUUUUUCCUCUCUCUGAGCUCACUCAUCAACCAUCCAGUAGCUUCCGCUCUCGGUCUCUUUGCCGGCGAGGAAGUAGUUGGACCAUUUAAUAAAGCACUUCGACAGCACGCAUUCACGCCGCCACAAAAUCGUUAGAUCUUGCCGGAAAUAGAGCAUGGUAUCAAUUUUUUUUUUCCUUUAAACUUUCCAUGUUUUGAUAUUUGCUACAUCUUGGUUUAAAUGAAAGAAGAAUGUGAUUUGAAUCUGUAUUUUUUGUUUUUGUUCAUAACAUGAGUUUAGUUUCCCAUAUGAUUUUGUUUGUUUUGGUUUUAAAAAAUAAAAUAAUAAAAGAUGAAAAAGCAUAGUUUUUUGCGCAUCUUUUAAAUCAUGAGUGAGAGAGUUUUGUGUUUGCUAGGAGUGUUUACUGGUUUAUGUUACUUUCUCUUUUGUUUUUUUUUAAGUUUUAAAUGCUAUGACACUUGUCAUUUUUUUUUAUUAUUGGUGGUUUCUUUUAAAAUUUGGCAAAUAUUUUCCAAAGCAAACUGUGGGAAACGCAAGCUCCCCUUGGAGCUGCUUGUUUAUAUUUUAUUUAUUCAAUUACUUUUUAUUUUCUUUAAUUUAAAACUAAUUGUUAUUAGGCUUAAUAUUGAUUUUAGAUUGGGCACAAAUUAAUUUAGUUUUUGCACCUCUACUCCUUCCUUUAUACACCACUUUUUUUUUUUUUUUUUUUUUUUAAAGUUUUGUUUUGGUUUCUAUUUUUGUUUUCUUUAUUAGUUUAUUUAGAUAAAUAAUUAAUCAUUUGUUUAUUAGUUUCAAUUAUUUAUUUUCUUUUUAAUUACUAAAUGGAUUAUUUGAUAAUUUAUUCCGUCGAUUUCAAUAUGUUUAGUCCAUUAGUUAGAUGAUUUUUGCUAAAAUAAAAAAUAUAUAAGCUGCUAUUGUGUUUUUAUUUUAUUUUAAUGAUUCCAACAUCAGUCUUUUAUAUAUAUAUAUAUAUAUUGGUGGUUGUGUUGGUUUGACAACUAACUAACCAUGUCUGAGUGGUAGAGACUCUUAGCAGUUCCUAUAUGCCCAUGGGUUUGAUACAUGUAUACAAUAUUUUUGGGUUUAUUGUAUAUUUAAUUUUUACGCUUUUUUUCGUUUGCCUCUUAUAUAAAUGGGUUUAUUGGUUACUGAACUAUUCAUCCAUGACCCAGCGGUAGAGGUAUUUGGUGCUUCCUCUUGGGUCUUCUUACAAUGAGACGGUUCUCUUACACCUACACUCAUAUAUUGCAUUGCUUGUUGGUUGGGCUAGAUUUAAUUAUUUCAUUAUUUUGAAUCCCAUUCGACAAAAUGUACCCUCACCCCCAUAAUAUGUAAUAAUUUUACUGUUUUAUUUCUUUAUUUGCUUGACUGUUUAGCUAGUUACUAAGACAAGAAUAAAAUCAAUUUCUUUUAAAAAAAGAUCAAAAAUAAGGGCUCGAUCCAACGUCGAGUAUUUUCUCAAUAAACAAAUUCAUCCAUUUCUAUCCAUC
rnacentral:lncRNA from 1 species